GGGCAUUUGGUCUAGGGGUAUGAUAUCCGCUUUGCAUAAGCAAAAUUGCGGAUGGUCGUGUAAGUUAUCCUAACUUCACAUGAAAGACCAUCACUAAUCAUACACUAUAGGGGUUCAAUUCCCACAAUGUCCA